AUGUCGUGCUGCGGAGGCAGCUGCGAGUGCGGCAGCGGCUGCGGGGGGGCUCGAUGUGGGGGACGAUUCAUUGACUCAUUGUACGGCCAUGAUGACAUCCACGGCCUAGAUUACUGGGCUAAGAAGUGCGCGGAUUAUUUGUUGUCAGAGCCACCUGAUGCCGUUGCACUAUACUCUGCCGGAUGCUUUGCCAUGGGUAGAAUUUCUAAUGGGUUAGCAUACCCAGUUACACUUGAUUUUGUCACUGGGUUUAGCGGCUGGCUUCCCUUCUCAGGGAUGGAGAGCUCAGGGACGACUGCUCGCAGGAGAGCCGCUCAUUUAAAAAUCCUGCUCUUGCAUGGAGACGAUGAUCCUCAAGUACCAUACGAAACCAGUAUAUGGUACGCUAAGUUUCUGCGAACCUCAGGCUUUUCAGUGGAUUUUAGAACCUUCAACAGACUGCAGCAUUUUUGGACAUACCGUGAGAUGGAUUAUGUCAAGCAGUGGCUCCGCCCUAGGAUCGCAGUGCCCAGAAUCACAGUGCCCAGACGCCAUGGAAGGCUGUAG
rnacentral:rRNA from 1 species